UUUAAAGCUUCCAACUGGGAUUAGAUACCCCACUAUUUCUAGUUGUAAAUUUAGUUUAAGCUUACCAGAGUACUACGAAUUAAAAGUUUAAAACUCAAAGGGCUUGGCGGUGUUUUAGACCUCUUAGGGGAACCUGUCUCGUAAUCGACAAUCCACGUUAGACCUAACCUUUUGUGGCAUGACAGCCUGUAUACCGUCGUCGUCAGGUAACUUCUUAAAAUAUAGUAGUUAGCCCGAGAACUUUAUUAGUUAAAACGUCAGAUCAAGGUGCAGCUAAUAAAAGGGUGAGGAUGGGUUACAAUUAUAGAUUUAUAAGUACGGAUAAAGAUUUGAAAUGGAGUGUUUGGAAGGAGGACUUAAAAGUAAUUUUGAUUAUAUAAGCAGAAUGAAUAUGGCUCUGAAACGUGCACACACCGCCCGUCACCCUCUGCAGUCAAAAA
rnacentral:rRNA from 1 species